CAAAGUUCAAAGUUCAAACUCAUUAUUCAUCAGAAUCGCUUUUUCUACAACACACUUUUUUGACUCAAAAAUUAAGUUUCUGCCUCGGCAAGAUGAAUAUGGAGCCGAAGAAGAUCGUGGAUCUCCCUCAGGAACUGAUAACUGAAAUUCUGUUGAGAUUACCGGUGAAGAUUCUGUUACGUUUCAGGUCUGUAAUGGCAAUACAAAAUACAAAUGAGAUUUAUGCAGCUCCAGCAAAAGUUUCUAAUUCGUAUCAUAUUGUGAACAUUAGCCAAUACACUUGAUCAUAUUUGUCCAAGAAGGAUUUGUAUAUCUAUUUGUUGAAACAAGAUGCACCUGUUAUUGUAUAAACGUCGGUCGUGACUAAGGCUUGCACUACUGUUGUUGAUCCCAUUCAUAUUGAUAUUAGGAAUGCAUUCCGAGUAUGCAUAUUGAUUACUCCAUCCGUCCCAAAUCUUUAGUCUUUUUAGCUUUUUAAUUUUGUUCCAAAACUUUAGUUCUUUUAAGA